GCGGAGGAAAAGAAACCAACAGGGAUUGCCUCAGUAACGGCGAGUGAAGCGGCAACAGCUCAAAUUUGAAAUCUGGCUCUUUCAGGGUCCGAGUUGUAAUUUGUAGAAGAUGCUUUGGGUGUGGCUCCGGUCUAAGUUCCUUGGAACAGGACGUCAUAGAGGGUGAGAAUCCCGUACGUGACUGGUUGCCUUCGCUCGUGUAAAGCUCUUUCGACGAGUCGAGUUGUUUGGGAAUGCAGCUCAAAAUGGGUGGUAAAUUUCAUCUAAAGCUAAAUAUUGGCCAGAGACCGAUAGCGCACAAGUAGAGUGAUCGAAAGAUGAAAAGCACUUUGGAAAGAGAGUUAAACAGUACGUGAAAUUGUUGAAAGGGAAGCGCUUGCAACCAGACUUGCAUGCUGUUGAUCAUCCAGGUUUCUACCUGGUGCACUCGGCAGUGUUCAGGCCAGCAUCGGUUUCGGUGGGCGGAUAAAGGCCUUGGGAAUGUAGCUUCUUUCGGGGAGUGUUAUAGCCCUCGGUGCAAUGCGCCCUACCGGGACCGAGGACCGCGCUUCGGCUAGGAUGCUGGCGUAAUGGUUGUAAGCGACCCGUCUUG
rnacentral:rRNA from 1 species